ACGUAGGGCGCGAGCGUUGUCCGGAUUUAUUGGGCGUAAAGAGCUCGUAGGCGGCUUGUCGCGUCGACUGUGAAAUCCCGCGGCUCAACUGCGGGUCUGCAGUCGAUACGGGCAGGCUAGAGUUCGGUAGGGGAGACUGGAAUUCCUGGUGUAGCGGUGAAAUGCGCAGAUAUCAGGAGGAACACCGGUGGCGAAGGCGGGUCUCUGGGCCGAUACUGACGCUGAGGAGCGAAAGCGUGGGGAGCGAACAGG
rnacentral:rRNA from 1 species